UGGUUCUGGCAUCGAUGAAGAACGCAGCAAAAUGCGAUAAGUAAUGCGAAUUGCAGAGCAGUGAGUCAUCGAAUCUUUGAACGCACAUUGCGCCCUUUGGUAUUCCGAAGGGCACGUCUAUUCGAGCGUCAUUAUCAACCCUCAAGCCUGGCUUGGAAUUGGAUCUCGUCGUCAGAAAUGGAUCCCAAAGAUAAUGGCAGAGUCUGUUGGACCUUGGAUGCAAUGAGCUUUGAUUAGCACGCAUUAAAGGAACAACAGGCCCGGUCUUUAACCACUUUUUCUAUGGUUGACCUCGGAUUAGAUGGGAAUACCCGCUGA
rnacentral:misc_RNA from 1 species